rnacentral:rRNA from 1 species
CCCCUUUUCUGGGGGAAGAAUAAGGGUUGGGGAGGAAAUGCCCAUCCGAUGACGGUACUCCAGGAAUAAGCAUCGGGCAAACCUUCGUGCCAGCAGCCGCGGUAAGACGAGGGAUGCAAGCGUUAUCCGGAAUUACUGGGCGUAAAGGGCGUCUAGGCGGUUGGAUAAGUCAUUUGUGAAAUCCCAGGGCUCAACCCUGGAAGGUCUCGUGAUACUGUCCGGCUUGGGUGUAGGAGAGGAGAGCGGAACUCACAGAGUAGCGGUGGAAUGCGUAGAUACUGUGAGGUACCCCGAUGGCGAAGGCAGCUCUCUGGCCUACUACCGACGCUGAAGCGCGAAAGCGUGGGGAGCAAAGGGGAUUAGAUACCCCCGUAGUCCACGCCCUAAACGAUGUUCACUUGGUGUCGGGAGCCUAUAUAUCUCGGUGCCGGAGCUAACGCGUUAAGUGAACCGCCUGAGGAGUACGGUCGCAAGGCUAAAACUCAAGAGAAUUGACGGGUCCCCGCACAAGCGGUGGAGCACGUGGUUUAAUUCGAUGAUAAGCGAAGAACCUCACCUGGGCUUGACAUACUAGUGGUAGGAACCUGAAAGGGUAACGACCCUGCCUUCGGGUAGGGAGCUAAUACAGGUGAUGCAUGGCUGUCGUCAGCUCGUGUCGUGGGAUGUAGGGUUAAGUCCCGAAACGAGCGCAACCCUUGUCACUAGUUGCCAGCGGAUAAUGCCGGGGACUCUAGUGAGACUGCUGGUGAAUAGCCGGAGGAAGGCGGGGAUGACGUCAAGUCAUCAUGUCCCUUAUGCCCAGGGCGACACACAUGCUACAAUGGGAGGUACAGAGGGUUGCAAUACGGCAACGUGGAGCUAAUCUCAAAAAGCCUCCCCCAGUUCGGAUUGUGGUCUGCAACUCGACCACAUGAAGCCGGAAUCGCUAGUAAUCGCGGGUCAGCCAUACCGCGGUGAAUAUGUACUCGGGGAUUGUACACACCGCCCGUCACACCAACCGAGUGGGGGGUACCUGAAGUCGCCUUUUUGAGGGCGCCUAAGGUAACCUUCGCAAGAGGGGUGAAGUCGUAACAAGGUAACC